ensembl:snRNA U1 U1 spliceosomal RNA
AGACUUACCUGGCAGGAGAGAUACCAUGAUCAUGAAGGUGAUUUUCCCAGGGCGAGUCUUAUCCAUUGCACUCCAGAUAUGCUGACCCCUGUGAUUUCCCCAAAUGUGAAAAACUCAACUGCAUAAUUUGUGGUAAUGGAGGACUGCAUUUGCGCUCUCCCCUG